UACGAAGGGGGCUAGCGUUGCUCGGAAUCACUGGGCGUAAAGCGCACGUAGGCGGCUUUUUAAGUCAGGGGUGAAAUCCUGGAGCUCAACUCCAGAACUGCCUUUGAUACUGAGAGCUUGAGUCCGGGAGAGGUGAGUGGAACUGCGAGUGUAGAGGUGAAAUUCGUAGAUAUUCGCAAGAACACCAGUGGCGAAGGCGGCUCACUGGCCCGGUAACUGACGCUGAGUAGCGAAAGCGUGGGGAGCAAACAGG
rnacentral:rRNA from 1 species